rnacentral:rRNA from 1 species
ACUGCUCAGUAACACGUAGCUAACCUGCCCUUAGGUCAGGGAUAACCUCGGGAAACUGAGGAUAAUACCUGAUAAGAAACGGUUUCUGGAAUGAGCCAUUUCUCAAACUCGUGCCUAAGGAUGGGGCUGCGGCUGAUUAGCUAGUUGUUGGUGUAAUAGACUAACAAGGCGAUGAUCAGUAAGGGCUCUUAACGGAGAGGCCCUGAGAAGGAAUUUUAGACACUAUUCCUAGCUCUACGGGGUGCAGCAGUUAAGGAACUUUUACAAUGCCCGAAAGGGUGAUCGAGUAAGCCAGAGUGUUUCUCUUCGAGAAACUUUUGUCUGUUGCAAAAAGACAGAUGAAUAAGGACUGGGCAAGACCGGUGCCAGCCGCCGCGGUAAUCCCGGCGGUCCAAGUCGCAUCCACAAUUAUUAGGUCUAAAACAUCCGUAGCUUGCUUUACAAGUCUCUUGUGAAAUCUGAUAUCUCAAGUAUCAGGCGUGCAAGAGAUACUGUAAAGCUUGAGACCGGAAGACGCAAAGAGUACGAUGAAGGUAGCGGUAAAAUGUGUUAAUCUUUAUCGGACUAACAAUGGCGAAGGCACUUUGCGAGUACGGAUCUGACAGUGAGGGAUGAAGGCUAGGGGCGCAAAAGGGGUUAGAUACCCCUGUAGUCCUAGCAGUAAACUCUGCUCACUAAACAUCAGGGCCUCUUAGAGAGGCGUUGGUGCUGUAGGGAAGCCGGAGAGUGAGCUACCUGGGAAGUAUAGUCGCAAGGCCGAAACUUAAAGGAAUUGGCGGGGGAGCA